rnacentral:lncRNA from 8 species
UUUCCUAGUAGAAAUACUGAGGUUCCUCGUAUGAUUUUUGGAGGUACAAUGCUGCACAUGACUGGCCUUAUUCAAAAUCAAAUUGCUGCCAUGGAAGAAAAUGCCUUAGCCAUGUAGUUCAUGGAGUUGAAAGUUAUUUUUUGUCUUAUCAUGGUGGGAUAACACAACCUUGGCUCAGGGCUUAGCUGGUCCUGAUUUGGAGCAGUGUUAGUGCCAAUAUUUGUUCUUUGUCCCCCCAGCUCAUCUUCACUCCAACUGCAGCUGUUGCCACUGUCCAAUCAGAGGCCUCCGUACAGUCCGUCAUCAACCAACAGUCUAAUAGUGCACAGGUGCAGAACCUUGCCAUCCGUAGCCAGCAGGAGGCUCCCUCCUCCUCCUCUCAGCUCCAGGGCCUGUAUCUCAAACAGAUGUCUGGAGAGGCCCAGCUCUCCCUGGCUGGCCAGCUCAGGAGUCCCACCCUGGGGCCACAGGGAGCCCAGCUGGGGCCCCUGUAGGCACCUUCAGAGGGCGGCAGAAGCGUGAGGGCCACAUGGAGCUGAGUGCCCACCUGGUGAGCGUGAGACGCAGUUUGACGGCCGUCAGCAGUCAACCCAGGUACAUAACAUUCAAAGCACCCUGGUCAGGACUUCCAUGCUCAAACGCAUUAUUAGGUUAGCAUAACAGAGAAACACAGGUUUUCAUAAACAUGAUAACUG